GGACAACCUGCCCUCGGGAGGGGGAUAACCCCGGGAAACUGGGGCUAAACCCCCAUAGGGGAUGGAUACUGGAAUGUUCCAUCUCCGAAAGUCCGCAAGGAGCCCGAGGAUGGGUCUGCGGCGGAUUAGGUAGUUGGUGGGGUAACGGCCCACCAAGCCUAAGAUCCGUACGGGCCAUGGGAGUGGGAGCCCGGAGAUGGACCCUGAGACAAGGGUCCAGGCCCUACGGGGCGCAGCAGGCGCGAAACCUCCGCAAUGCGGGAAACCGCGACGGGGUCAGCCGGAGUGCCGAUGCUUGCAUCGGCUGUCGGGGAGCCUAAAAAGCUCUCCAAGCAAGGGCCGGGCAAGGCCGGUGGCAGCCGCCGCGGUAAUACCGGCGGCCCGAGUGGCGGUCACUAUUAUUGGGCUUAAAGCGUCCGUAGCCGGGUUGGUUAGUCUCCCGGGAAAUCUGGCCGCUCAACGGUCAGAAUUCCGGGAGAUACUGCCAGCCUAGGGACCGGGAGAGGCCGAGGGUAUUCCCGGAGUAGGGGUGAAAUCCUAUAAUCCCGGGAGGACCACCUGUGGCGAAGGCGCUCGGCUGGAACGGGUCCGACGGUGAGGGACGAAGGCCAGGGGAGCGAACCGGAUUAGAUACCCGGGUAGUCCUGGCUGUAAACGAUGCGGACUUUGUGUCGGACAAGCUAUGAGCUUGUCCGGUGCCGGAGGGAAACCGUU
rnacentral:rRNA from 1 species